rnacentral:piRNA from 1 species
UAGGCUAUCAUAGAUCCUUGAAAAUGAGCC